rnacentral:rRNA from 1 species
UACAGAGGGUGCAAGCGUUGUUCGGAAUCACUGGGCGUAAAGCGCGUGUAGGCGGUCGGGCAAGUCCGAUGUGAAAGCCCAUGGCUUAACCAUGGAAGGGCAUUGGAAACUGCUUGGCUUGAGUACGGGAGAGGGAGGCGGAAUUCCCGGUGUAGAGGUGAAAUUCGUAGAUAUCGGGAAGAACACCGGCGGCGAAGGCGGCCUCCUGGACCGUUACUGACGCUAAGACGCGAAAGCGUGGGGAGCAAACAGG